CUGUCGGAGCAUAAAAUUUAACUCAAAUUUGUAUGGAGUUGAAACGUUUGCCUACGUUUGCCGCUAGGGGCGCUGUUCCAACUGCAUACAAAUUUGAGUUAACUUUUACGCGAUCGA
rnacentral:pre_miRNA from 9 species